UUUUUGAAGUUCUCCCUAAUUUUAAAUGGUACAAUUAGCUUCAACAUAGUCUCAAAUAGUACAACUUUUAUUUUAUUAGCGCAAUUUAAUCUCAAAUAGUUUUAAACGGUGCAAUUAGCUUCAAACAGUACAAUUUAGUCUCAAACAAUACAAUUUUAUCUCAAAUAGUGCAAUUUCGUAUUAUUCUUCUUACUUCUCGAUUUCUUGGCCCUUUCUGGAGUGGCCAUGACAUAUAAUGAUCUUCCCAAGAGAAAAGAAAAUAUAAUAUAUUUUUUCUUGUUAUUCUUUUCUUUUAUUUUUCUUUCAUCCUCUGUAUCUUUUUUAUCUACUCCAUCUUCUCUCUCACCGUCUACCGCAACAACUGCCCCUGCCUCGACGUUUUCUCUCUCUUCAUCAUCCUCAAAUCCUGCGGACUCUCGUCACUAUCGUCAUCUACCACUAUAACCACCACCGCAACCUCACCUCUACAAUUUGCGUCAUAUCUGAGCUAGAGUCAGUAGAUUUGUAGAUGAGGUAAGAGAGAGGACUCUGCCGCAACAGCCGCCUCCGCCCCUAUGUGUUCUCCCUCUCUGUCAUCUUCAAAUCUUGCGGCACUCUCGUCGUCGUCAUAAGAGUAUUUUGAUCGGUUUAUUAAAAAUUCAGGUCGCUUCUUUAAAAUAAAAAAAAUAGUGGUGUUUUUUUGCAUUUUCGCAAAACCGGUGGAUUUUUUUUUGCAAAAGGACCUUGUUUAAUCUAAAUUUCAUCUUAAACUCAUUUUGAUCUUUAUGUUCAUUUACGAGAAGAGUGUAGAGUUAUUAAAUAAAGAGUGAACAUCAAUUUGCUCCCGUAUGGUUUAGUUUAUUUUUACUUU
rnacentral:lncRNA from 1 species